rnacentral:misc_RNA from 1 species
GAUGAAGAACGUAGCGAAAUGCGAUAAGUAAUGUGAAUUGCAGAAUUCAGUGAAUCAUCGAAUCUUUGAACGCACAUUGCGCCCGCCAGUAUUCUGGCGGGCAUGCCUGUUCGAGCGUCAUUUCAACCAUCAAGCCCCCGGCUUGUGUUGGGGACCUGCGGCUGCCGCAGGCCCUGAAAACCAGUGGCGGGCUCGCUAGUCACUCCGAGCGUAGUAAUACAUCUCGCUCAGGGCGUGCUGCGGGUUCCGGCCGUUAAAAGCCUUAUUUACCCAAGGUUGACCUCGGAUCAGGUAGGAAGACCCGCUGAACUUAAGCAUAUCAAUAAGCGGAGG